rnacentral:rRNA from 1 species
UACGUAGGGUGCGAGCGUUUGUCCGGAUUUAUUGGGCGUAAAGAGCUCGUAGGCGGUUUGUCGCGUCGGCCGUGAAAUCUCCACGCUUAACGUGGAGCGUGCGGUCGAUACGGGCAGACUUGGAGUUCGGUAGGGGAGACUGGAAGUUCCUGGUGUAGCGGUGAAAUGACGCAGAUAUCAGGAGGAACACCGGUGGCGAAGGCGGCUCUCUAGUACGGUACUGGACGCUGAGACGCGAAAGCGUUGGGGAGCGAACAGG